UACGGAGGGUGCAAACGUUGCUCGGAAUCAUUGGGCGUAAAGCGCACGUAGGCGGCGCGUUAAGUCGGGUGUGAAAGCCCUGGGCUCAACCCAGGAAGUGCAUUCGAAACUGGCGCGCUUGAAUAUGGAAGAGGGUCGCGGAAUUCCCGGUGUAGAGGUGAAAUGCGUAGAGAUGCGGAGGAACACCGAUGGCGAAGGCAGCCCCCUGGGCUGACACUGACGCUCAGGCACGAAAGCGUGGGGAGCAAACAGG
rnacentral:rRNA from 1 species